rnacentral:rRNA from 1 species
UCAGCUCGUGUCGUGAGAUGUUGGGUUAAGUCCGCAACGAGCGCAACCCUUAUCUUUAAUUGCCAGCAUUCAGUUGGGCACUUUAAAGAGACUGCCGGUGUUAAACCGGAGGAAGGUGGGGAUGACGUCAAGUCCUCAUGGCCUUUAUGCUUAGGGCUACACACGUGCUACAAUGGGUGGUACAAAGAGAAGCCAACUCGCGAGAGCGCGCCAAUCUCAAAAAAGCCAUCCUCAGUUCGGAUUGGAGUCUGCAACUCGACUCCAUGAAGUUGGAAUCGCUAGUAAUCGCGGAUCAGCAUGCCGCGGUGAAUACGUUCCCGGGCCUU